GAUGAACGCUAGCGGCAGGCUUAACACAUGCAAGUCGAGGGGUAUAGUUCUUCGGAACUAGAGACCGGCGCACGGGUGCGUAACGCGUAUGCAAUCUACCUUUUGCAGAGGGAUAGCCCAGAGAAAUUUGGAUUAAUACCUCAUAGUAUAGCAGUUUCGCAUGAACCACUAUUAAAGUCACAACGGCAAAAGAUGAGCAUGCGUCCCAUUAGCUAGUUGGUAAGGUAACGGCUUACCAAGGCUACGAUGGGUAGGGGUCCU
rnacentral:rRNA from 1 species